AUGCAUAAUGUGCACAACAUCGUAGGAGUGAUCAUCAGUAACACAAUUAUAAUGCAAUUUCGAAGGGCUAAGAGCAAGAACAUACCUACAGACGACGAAGUGCCAGGAGCUCCGUCCAUGCUGAAGAACACCGUAGAUGUUGAUCCACGGAGAGGACAAUUUUCUGUCAAUCUUGAUCUAUUCUCCUCCCAUCAGGAGUGGGUAACAAUGGAAAUAGAUUGGACAAUUAUUCCUUACAAAAGUGGUUUACACCGGUGUUUAUCCGCAUCAUAUGGUUUAACGGACAUGGGACAAGUUGCCUACUGCAAAAGAGACUAUUAUAUCACUGAGCUGUUGAAUAACUCAUACCGGUUUAUAUCACGACCAAAUAUGGAGAGUCUCAAGCCAACUCCUCGAGUAAUCUUAAGACUCGGGGGCUACAAUGACAUGACUCGGGAACUCCGGGUCAUUGGAGGGAAUGAUAACCCGGUUCCGGAGGACACUGCCACAUUGAUGAAAAUUUAA
rnacentral:rRNA from 1 species